CACGCGUCUUUCAUCAUUGAUCUAUUCGCUUCAAGAGUAUUCUACUCAGCUUCCGCCUUUUUUUUCUUUGUGGUGGUUUUCUGAUCUGGGCAUUUCCCUUUCCUCUUCUUUUCUCCUCUCUCUCCGUCUGUGUUUGCCUUUGUUUAGAUCUCUCUAUCUCUUUCGUUUCGAUUCCGAUCCGAUCGUUUGCAGAUGGGUUUUGUGCUUAUGUUUGUUUUUGUGAUUCUAUUUGUAGGCUUGGAUCCUCCUCUUCUUCUUCACCCAAACCAGCUGCCCCACCUUCGAUUGUUAUCGACGGAAACACCACGAAUUGAGGCGCCACACCAAUACUAUAAUAUUUAUAAGAAAAGAGCUCCAAACCCGCAAAGGAUUCGUCAGAUAUCAAAUGGUUCGAGACGCAUAUGAUGGGUUGCAAAAACAGUUGAGUGUUGUUGUUUGUCUCUUCAUGGUUUUGUCAAGCUCUAAAAAACACUGAAAAGAAAUCAAACUUAUGGAGCACUUUAUAUGAGCUGCAAAGUGCUCUUGGUCAAAUUGAGAAAAAAAGGGGAAAGCUUUGUACACAAUGAACAACAUGUCAUUUACAAAGGCCAAAAGGAGAUCCAGUAUCUUCCAUAUACCAAACACAGGUAUGGAAUAAGAUGUUACAAGCUUUGUCUAACAAUUACACACUAAAAAAAGAGAGAAGAAAUCACAAAGUCAACAUCCAAGCUACAACUUCAACAAAUAGGUUUCGCAAGGAUCCAAUGAUGAUCAACUUGCACAAAUUACAAGGUUUGCCACCACUUCCCUUAAUCUGCAUAUGUAAAAUGUAGGUAAUUUUAACCCAUGUUGUGCUAAAAAAUUAACCUGUUUUGUUUCAUCAUUCUGUUACAGUAUUAUAUGUCAUCGCACAUUUUAAAAAAACAAAAUAUGUCUAUUGUCUGCUAAAAAAAAGGAAAAAUGUGGGCAGACAGAUCACUUACAUAAACAAAUUAGCAUAGUUAAUCCUAAAGCUAUAUAAGUGAGGUUAUUGAUUUGUUACCACAUUUCAUCGUUGGUGAUUUUCCAUUCUUGGCUAAUACAUGUUUGUGAACAGUAGUUGUGUUUUGUGUCAUGUGAUUGAAGAGUCGUGUGAUUACAAGUUUUAACUUAGUUUUUCCAAUGUCUUAAGAAAAAAUUAUGUCACUAUUGAUAUUCCAUGUGUCCAGCUUGCACAAAUUCUUUGUACAUCUCAUUCAAAUUGGUAACAGUUGUAAAUAGAUUUGAACAUCUACAAUUUUAAACCCACAGCAUCGCGCGGGCACCGUUGCUAAGUCCUAUAUACUAAAAUUCAGUUUUGGGGUACUGUUGAUGACUAGUGGCCGGACGCUUUUGCCCUUGGCUUUUCCUCUGUUUCUCUUGCUGUUUCUUCGAUCCAUGCGUCGAUCAUCCCGUGCAUCAGUUGUUUCUCGACUUUUCCUUCCAUUUCUGCUUUUCUUUCUCACAAUUCUCUGCUUCUUUCGCUCUCAAACGCCGCCUUCUCUCGCUCCACGACCUUGCGAUCUCUCUCACAAACUUUCUUGCGGAAAAGACCACCCAACUAGUACAAGUUUCUUCGGUUUUUCAGUUGGAUUCGGAGUAAUUUUUUACCUAGAAAAACUGGGGUUUCCUGGUGGGUUUUAUGACUUUCUCAAUAUAGGUGUUUCAAUUGUUUUUGUGAUUUUGGAUUUGCAUAUGGGUUUUCUGUUCAAAUUCCUCUUCUGUGAUUUUGUGGGUUUUGUUUGUACCGUCGGAUCCUGCAUGUGGGUGUUCAAUUCAGCUACAUAUGGCUGUUUAAUUUGGUUUUGUUUUCAAUUUCAGGUUUUACUCUUCCGUGGUAUGCAUUAUUCCUACCUCUCUCUCUUAAUUAUUUUUACGUUUAAUUAUUUAUAGGAUGUUGGAAGUUGAAUUUCCAUAAUCAUAGUGAUGGUGCAACCUUAAUUUGGGAUGUAUGUAAACUGAAAGUCUUAUAUAUUUGGAUGAUUUUCUUCUUUUUAAUUUCUUUGAUAUGCAUGAUCGGGGCAAAGUUGGAAGGACCUACUGACAUAGAUGACAUCAACACCGUCCUUAAGCACCCUGAAAUUAGAAUGAGCUUUUCAUAUAAUGUGGAUGAUGAGUACAACUCAUCCAGAGAAUGAAUCCACCAAGGUAUAUGCAAAAGUCAUACAUUGGGUUCAUAUAGAAGUAUGAAUUUUCUUUUAGGAUACAACUUUGAUGCAAUAAUUUAGAUCAUAGUUUGCAAGAUAUCGCGUGGAUUUUACCUACCUGGCAGUCAACGACCGAUGUCACUUCAACUUACGGCAUGUCACAUCAGUAUAUUUUCACAAGCAAAUGUUGAAACUGUACACAUCACA